rnacentral:tRNA from 1 species
UAACCAGAAGCUAAUAUUAGCAUCUAGCUGUUAACUAGGAGGUUGUAAGUUUAUUUAGAUCUUACCUGGUUAG